GCAAGCAUGUUUAAUUUUAUUAUUUCAUAUCAUUACAUCGGUCAGCUGGGGUUCGUAUCCCAGCUAAAGUCGUGAGGGGUGGAUUUGGUAAGAUUAGCCAAUGGUGUUACAAGUCUCCAAUAACGCCACAAAAUAGAUUAAAUAGAUUCCAUGUUUACAUGCUUUUUAUUAUAUUUUUUUCAGUCACAAGAAGUGAUUGAAAAAGUCACUUCUGGAUCACAGAACAUCAGAGACCUUUGAAUACGCUUCAACGGCGACGUGUAGCCGACUUACAGCAUGCCCUCACAGAUCUGCCUGAUGAACACCACGGCGUCCAACUCCAUCAACGUGUAGUUUUCGUCGAUGAUCCUGUCGAACAGCUCACCGCCUCCGACGCUGGCCAAACCAAACGGGGCGGAAAGCAUCUCAGCAUCAAACAAAUACAUUUGCAUGCGAGCAUGAUGCACGCAAGCUCCACUUUGAACACCCACUCCAGUUACCGGAUAUGACGCCCACGAUGUUCCAGACAGCAAAAGGGACCUCCUGCCAGUUGAUGGUGUAGAAGUUGCUGAUCUGGUUGGGCUUGGCAGACACGAUGCGGUGAUUAAACGGCGCCGGCGGGGGCGGGGUCAUGUCUAAAGAGGGGCGGAGACAUC